rnacentral:lncRNA from 1 species
GUUGGGCUUCCUCCAUCUAACCGAUUCGCUACGAUUUUAGUCAUGGUGGAUCGUGGGAAGGUUUGGCACCUCGAUGUCAGCUCUUCGCCACUUGGGGCUGUAGUAUGUUCCAAGGGUUGGGCUGUUCGCCCAUUAAAACGGUACGUGAGCUGAGUUCAAAACGUCGUGAGACAGUUCGGUCCAUAUCCGGUGUGGGCGUUAGAGCAUCGAGAGGACCUUUCCCUAGUACGAGAGGACCGGGAAGGACGCACCUCUGGUGUACCAGUUAUCGUGCCCAGGGUAAACGCUGGGUAGCCAAGUGCGGAGCGGAUAAUUGCUGAAAGCAUCUAAGUAGGACGCUCAUUUU